GGGCAAAGCUGCAAUGAACUCGGCCAGAACUCGCUGCAUAAUUAAUACUCUUCCAGUACUUCGGGGCCAAAUAGAGUUUUUCCUCCAGGUAGCCAAGAGGGUGGGCUGGGUGCUGUGUAUGCCCAGUUUCCCGGUGGCUUCCCCAGUGCAGCUGCCUGGCCUGCGACCUGGCGACUGCAACUUUCCUCCUGCGGAGCUUCGCCCAACCCUCCACAGCAAGCGUGGCCUCGUCCCCCUAUGGAGGGACGCUUCUCUCCAGCCCAGUCUCCCCCAAGCAGGAAAAUGGGACCUCUCCCUCGGAGGCUCUGGCUGAUGCCCCCAAGCCCUCUUCGUAACGCCUGGAUUCUCUGCCGUCGGACAUCUCACUGAAGAAGGAAGUUCCCCCCGCCAAGAGGCCGUGUAGAAAUCUGCUAAAAUAUUCGUAUUGGGGGGAGGAAAUAAAGUCUCGGCGGGAUGGGUUUUUUAUUUAUUUAUUUAAUAGGGAGGCUCCAAAGAAACCUUGGAAGGAAGACACACUUGGAGAAGGCGAAAUGUCUCUGCAAACCAGCCACGGAGGGGCAAGAAACCCCCCCCUUCCUUUUUUGCAGAGGGGUGGUGGUGGAAACACCUCCUUGGCUGGAAGCUGUACAGUGUUCUUUUCUUGUGGGGGGAGGUCUAUGCAUUCGCUAGCAGCUUUUGAGACCGACAGAGUGAUCCAGUGUCCAAACUCCAUGUCCUUUUUUAAUUAUUAGUAUUUUUAUUUGGAUGGUACAGCACAGCCUGUCCUGAGUGGGGCUAUCUUCUUCCUUUUUUUUUCUCCUUUGACUUUCUGUGUUUCUCUCUUAGAUGGGCAUCGUUGGUUGGUUUGCUUGCUCGCUUGUUUGUUUGUUUCCAUCCUGGCCUUUCUGGGCAUUUGGUUGACUCGGGACUCCCGUCCUUCCGAGGUCGGUAAAACGAGGACCCGAUUGUUGGGAGGGGUACAAUGCCCUGCUGACUCUGUAAACCGCUUAGAGACGGCUGUAAAAGCCCUGCGAAGCGGCACUAAGUCUUAUUGCAUGGCGGGUUACCUGCCUGGGAAUUGUUAGGAAGGAGGCAGAAAGAAAGCAGGAAGGUUAUUGUGCUUGGGGGAAUGGGUGUGUGUGUAACCCCUUGCUUCCAAUCUGUGUGUGUGUGAGCAGUCCUUGGUGCUCUCUGAGCUGGGUUUUCUUGCAGAUGUCUCAUUACCCAAUUAGGCAACAUCAUCAGUGCAGUGAGGACGGAAUGAUCAGGGCACUGAUGAUGUUACCAAGCUGGGUGAUGAAACGCCUGCAAGAAAACCCAAGUCUGGAGAGCACCAAAGACCCCACAGUUCAACCCUGAGCUAUAUUCUCCUCUCUGUGUGUAUGUGUGUGUGUGUGUGCAUACAAUACACAGGUAUGCUCCGUUUUAAUUGGCUUUUGUGCCCAAAGGAUGCAGUGUUUUAUUUUAAGGCAGGGCAGCCUGGGUGAGGAUAUGGAAUUGCACAUUUCCACACCCAGACAACCACUUGGAGCCCUUUCCAGCUUUCAACCGUGUGUGUGUGUGUGUGUGUGUGUGUGUGCACAGUUUGGGGUGGGGGGAAGAAUGCAGGGGCCAAAUUUUAAAGACACCCCUGCUACGUCUGUGUUUUUUCCCUCCCUGGUGCAGUUUCUGUGAACCCAAGAUAGCUCAGUUGGUACUUUAGCUUCUUGUGAAAAGCAUCCCAUCCACUUGAAGUCUUUCCAGCAGAGCAGUUGAAAUAACAAUAAAAAACAAAGAGAAUUCACUCCGUUUGUAAAAGGGUGGUGGGGUGCGUCCUUCAGAACUUACAAUUCCUUUUUUGGGUGGGGGGGAGACAUUAAAGUAUUGGUGGGUAAACAGCCCAGCUUAUUAGAUGAAAUCCUGGCCUAAUCAGCCAGCAAAGGGGUAAGUAUGAAAUAAUAUUAUCAGUUAUGGAAACCACACCAGAUGGCAACGAGGACAAGAAGAACAGGUAAGAACAGGUAAGUUCAGGAGGGC
rnacentral:lncRNA from 1 species